rnacentral:rRNA from 1 species
CCUACGUGUGGCAGCAGUGGGGAAUAUUGGGCAAUGGGCGCAAGCCUGACCCAGCAACGCCGCGUGAAGGAAGAAGGCUUUCGGGUUGUAAACUUCUUUUCUCAGGGACGAGGAAAGUACCGGUACUUGCGGAAUAGGCACCGCCUACCUACGUGCCAGCAGCCGCGGUAAUCCGUAGGUGGCAAGCGUUAUCCGGAUUUCUUGGGUGUAAAGGGCGUGUAGACGGGAGCGCAAGUCAGAUGUGAAAUCCUGCGGCUUAACCGCAGAACUGCAUUUGAAACGGUUGAUCUUGAGUACUGGAGAGGCAGACGGAAUUCCUAGUGUAGCGGUGAAAUGCGUAGAUAUUAGGAGGAACACCAGUGGCGAAGGCGGUCUGCUGGACAGCAACUGACGGUGAGGCGCGAAAGCGUGGGGAGCAAACAGGAUUAGAUACCCGAGUAGUC